rnacentral:rRNA from 1 species
GUGCCAGCCGCCGCGGUAAUACGGAGGGUGCGAACGUUAAUCGGAAUCACUGGGCGUAAAGCGCGCGUAGGCGGUCUGUUAAGUGGGAUGUGAAAUCCCCGGGCUUAACCUGGGAAUUGCAUUUCAAACUGGCCGACUAGAGUACGGUAGAGGGAGGUAGAAUUUCCUGUGUAGCGGUGAAAUGCGUAGAUAUAGGAAGGAAUACCAGUGGCGAAGGCGGCCUCCUGGAUCGAUACUGACGCUGAGGCGCGAAAGCGUGGGGAGCAAACAGGAUUAGAAACCCCUGUAGUCC